CUGUCUGAAUAUGGGGGGCCCAUCCUCCAAGGCUAAAUACUCCUGACUGACCGAUAGUGAACCAGUACCGUGAGGGAAAGGCGAAAAGAACCCCGGCGAGGGGAGUGAAAAAGAACCUGAAACCGUGUACGUACAAGCAGUGGGAGCACGCUUAGGCGUGUGACUGCGUACCUUUUGUAUAAUGGGUCAGCGACUUAUAUUCUGUAGCAAGGUUAACCGAAUAGGGGAGCCGAAGGGAAACCGAGUCUUAACUGGGCGUUAAGUUGCAGGGUAUAGACCCGAAACCCGGUGAUCUAGCCAUGGGCAGGUUGAAGGUUGGGUAACACUAACUGGAGGACCGAACCGACUAAUGUUGAAAAAUUAGCGGAUGACUUGUGGCUGGGGGUGAAAGGCCAAUCAAACCGGGAGAUAGCUGGUUCUCCCCGAAAGCUAUUUAGGUAGCGCCUCGUGAAUUCAUCUCCGGGGGUAGAGCACUGUUUCGGCAAGGGGGUCAUCCCGACUUACCAACCCGAUGCAAACUGCGAAUACCGGAGAAUGUUAUCACGGGAGACACACGGCGGGUGCUAACGUCCGUCGUGAAGAGGGAAACAACCCAGACCGCCAGCUAAGGUCCCAAAGUCAUGGUUAAGUGGGAAACGAUGUGGGAAGGCCCAGACAGCCAGGAUGUUGGCUUAGAAGCAGCCAUCAUUUAAAGAAAGCGUAAUAGCUCACUGGUCGAGUCGGCCUGCGCGGAAGAUGUAACGGGGCUAAACCAUGCACCGAAGCUGCGGCAGCGAUGCUUAUGCGUUGUUGGGUAGGGGAGCGUUCUGUAAGCCUGCGAAGGUGUGCUGUGAGGCAUGCUGGAGGUAUCAGAAGUGCGAAUGCUGACAUAAGUAACGAUAAAGCGGGUGAAAAGCCCGCUCGCCGGAAGACCAAGGGUUCCUGUCCAACGUUAAUCGGGGCAGGGUGAGUCGACCCCUAAGGCGAGGCCGAAAGGCGUAGUCGAUGGGAAACAGGUUAAUAUUCCUGUACUUGGUGUUACUGCGAAGGGGGGACGGAGAAGGCUAUGUUGGCCGGGCGACGGUUGUCCCGGUUUAAGCGUGUAGGCUGGUUUUCCAGGCAAAUCCGGAAAAUCAAGGCUGAGGCGUGAUGACGAGGCACUACGGUGCUGAAGCAACAAAUGCCCUGCUUCCAGGAAAAGCCUCUAAGCAUCAGGUAACAUCAAAUCGUACCCCAAACCGACACAGGUGGUCAGGUAGAGAAUACCAAGGCGCUUGAGAGAACUCGGGUGAAGGAACUAGGCAAAAUGGUGCCGUAACUUCGGGAGAAGGCACGCUGAUAUGUAGGUGAAGUCCCUUGCGGAUGGAGCUGAAAUCAGUCGAAGAUACCAGCUGGCUGCAACUGUUUAUUAAAAACACAGCACUGUGCAAACACGAAAGUGGACGUAUACGGUGUGACGCCUGCCCGGUGCCGGAAGGUUAAUUGAUGGGGUCAGCGCAAGCGAAGCUCUUGAUCGAAGCCCCGGUAAACGGCGGCCGUAACUAUAACGGUCCUAAGGUAGCGAAAUUCCUUGUCGGGUAAGUUCCGACCUGCACGAAUGGCGUAAUGAUGGCCAGGCUGUCUCCACCCGAGACUCAGUGAAAUUGAACUCGCUGUGAAGAUGCAGUGUACCCGCGGCAAGACGGAAAGACCCCGUGAACCUUUACUAUAGCUUGACACUGAACAUUGAGCCUUGAUGUGUAGGAUAGGUGGGAGGCUUUGAAGUG
rnacentral:rRNA from 1 species